GGGGGCGAACUGGGUUCGACCGGAUGGGUGAAGUGUUCGUGGCGUGUCGUGGUUGGUCAGUUGGCCACGUUAAAAGCUGACCGCAAAUUUCAAUUGCCGAAGGUAACUUCGCACUGGCUGCCUAGAGAUAGGUAGUCCGGGCUGAGGGCUUUUGUCGGAGAGGCCCAACUGCUCGUCACCAAUUCCGAAUCGCUUCGAGUCACUGCUGGGCACGCUCGAAGUUAAACACGUUCCCGGCUAAGCCGCAGCGGACCAGGUCGACAAGGGCCGUUGCGGACAAAAAUUAAAAAGACGACUACACACGUAGAAGCGGCCAUGGAGACAUCACGGGACGCGGGUUCGAUUCCCGCCGCCUCCAUUA
rnacentral:tmRNA from 1 species